rnacentral:rRNA from 1 species
CAGCCGCCGCGGGAAUACGAAGGUCCCGAGCGUUGUUCGGAAUCACUGGGCGUAAAGGGAGCGUAGGCGGCGUGGUAAGUCAGAUGUGAAAUCCCGGGGCUCAACCCCGGAACUGCAUCCGAUACUGCCGUGCUAGAGGAUUGGAGAGGUAGCUGGAAUUCUUGGUGUAGCAGUGAAAUGCGUGGAGAUCAAGAGGAACACUCGUGGCGAAAGCGAGCUACUGGACGAUAUCUGACGCUGAGGCUCGAAGGCCAGGGUAGCGAAAGGGAUUAGAUACCCCCGUAGUCCCUGUCUCUUAUAC